rnacentral:ncRNA from 1 species
UGGUCCUGGCCUUGAAUUCAGUUUUUACUUAACUUACACAUGCAAGUCUCCGCACCCCUGUGAAAACGCCCUCUAACCCCCUCCCGGGACGAGGAGCUGGUAUCAGGCUCAACCAUUAGCCCAAAACACCUAGCUUAGCCACACCCCCAAGGGACUUCAGCAGUGACCAACAUUGAACAUAAGCGAAAGCUUGAUUCAGUUAAAGUAAACAGGGCCGGCAAACCUGUGUGCCAGCCGCCGCGGUUAAACCUGUGGGCCCAAACUGACCCCCCCUCGGCGUAAAGCGUGAUUAAAGUCAGCAUAGACUGUAUUCAAACUAACACUACCUCUGUGAUACGCUUGUGGAUAGGAUACUCAAAAACGAAAGUUAAUACAGCAACACCCACUUGACCCCACGACAGCUGAAGAACAAACUGGAAUUAGAUACUUCACUAUGUUCAGCCGUAAACCUUAACUUACACCCAAAUCGCCAGGAAACUACGAGCAAUGCUUAAAACCCAAAGGACUUGACGGUUCCCCAUAUCUUCCUAGAGGAGCCUGUCCUAGAAUCGACAACACCCGCUUAACCUCACCACCCUUUGACUUUCAGCCUGUAUACUUCCGUCGUCAGUUUACCACGUGAGCGCCCUCCAGUGAGCACAAUGCGGCUACUCUAGCCAAAUACGACAGGUCAAGGUGCAGCAUACAGGGUGGGAAGAGAUGGGCUACACUCUCUAAUAUAGAAAAAACGAAAGACUAGUUAUGAAAUUUUAGUCAGAAGGCGGAUUUAGUAGUAAACAGGGACAAGAGUGCCCUGUUUAACAAAGCUCUGGGGUUCGUACACACCGCCCGUCACCCUCUUCGAAGCAAUCAAAUAGUACUUAACACCCCAAAUGCUAUAAAGAAGAGGCAAGUCGUAACAUGGUAAGCUUACCGGAAGGUGUGCUUGGACA